rnacentral:lncRNA from 1 species
AGGCAGGGUACCUAUAUUGACCAUCCAUGAAAACAACUAUAAAUUCUUGAUUAAGUAUUUUAAACUCUAAAUAUAACAAUGAGCUAGCGAGAAUAUAACAAAUUCUCAGAAAUUCGUAAGAACUCAGAAAGAGAAGGAGAAUGCUUCAGUUAGCUUAUAUUCUGAGCAUAUUUAACUCAGGAUAUUUUCAUUUCACAAGUGAAAUCCAAGGAAAAAGAGCAGCCCACAGUAAGACUCAGAGAGUAUAAAAACAACAUAGAGGGGACAGAAGAUGAAACCCAGGGCCCACUGAAGAUUAGUAGUCUCAUAAAAGAGCCUCCCACAUAAAGCCGUACCGUACAAAGAUCUAUGCAUUGCACAUACACAGAAAGGAGGGAAGGGUAAAAAAGAAAAGAAAAAGAAAGAAACUUGUAAUUCUUGAACUUCAGUAUUGAGCAGAUGAGGGGUCAGAGAGAAAUCCAUGAGAAUUUAGAACCACCAUGUAGUAUAACUACCACACAAAUUUACAAGCCAUAUUCACACCACUUGAGUGGUCUUUAAAGUCUCAAACAAAGAAUUUAAUUUAGAAUGACCUCAAUCUAGUAACAGCCCAAAAUAUCUGAAAGAAAAGUAAAUUUGUGUCCCUUGUAGAAACCUACUCAUAUUUUAGUUUUCAAAGAAUUAUCACAAAGAAAAAUAAGCAGCCCACAAUUAAAAAAUAAAUAAAAAUAAGAUAAAAUAACUUGAUCCACAAAGAAAAAGGCACCAUUAAAAAAUCAAAAGAAACCACAAGACCAAAUAAAC